rnacentral:rRNA from 1 species
UACGUAGGGUGCAAGCGUUAAUCGGAAUUACUGGGCGUAAAGCGUGCGCAGGCGGUGAUGUAAGUCAGAUGUGAAAGCCCCGGGCUCAACCUGGGAAUUGCAUUUGAGACUGCUCUGCUCGGGUGCGGAAGAGGGAAGCGGAAUUUCCGGUGUAGCGGUGAAAUGCGUAGAUAUCGGAAGGAACACCAGUGGCGAAAGCGGCUUCCUGGUCCGACACCGACGUUCAGGCACGAAAGCGUGGGGAGCAAACAGG